rnacentral:tRNA from 1 species
AAAGUAAUAGCUCAGUGGUAGAGCACUAAGUUUAAAACUUAGAGGGCGAGGGUUCGAAUCCCUUUUACUUUU